rnacentral:lncRNA from 1 species
GUAGAAUGCUUCUGUUACAUAAAUAUGGGCUGUUUUUGACAAUACAAUGCACAUAUAUCGGGUACAAGCACCAUUAAGUCAUGCUAAAUCACUGAAAUCUUCACAAUUCUAGCAUUUUAGUUAAAUUUUAGACGGUUUUCGUGUAAAACGAAAGUGGCCGCAUUCGUGUUCAUCCUUAAUAUUAAAAUGUAAGUUGUAUUUUAUGAUAAUACAUAACGUAUAUAAAGGUUGAGGAUGAACAC